CAAUAGCGUAUAUUAACGUUGUUGCAGUUAAAAAGCUCGUAGUUGGGUUUCUGGAGGGAGCGUCGGCCCGUAUUUACGAGUGCGUGACGUCUCUGUCCAUCCUUGCGGGAAGGCACGGCAUUGAUUUGUUGUGUCGGAUCGCAUCAUUUACUGUGAAAAAAUUAGAGUGUUCAAAGCAGGCUUUCGCUUGAAUACAUUAGCAUGGAAUAAUAAGAUAGGACUUUGGUGCUGUUUUGUUGGUUGAGCCUAAAGUAAUGAUUAAUAGGGAUAGUUGGGGGCACCUGUAUUGCGUUGUCAGAGGUGAAAUUCUUGGAUUUACGCAAGACAAACAGCUGCGAAAGCGUCUGCCAAGGAUGUUUNCAUUA
rnacentral:rRNA from 1 species